UACGUAGGGUGCAAGCGUUAAUCGGAAUUACUGGGCGUAAAGCGUACGCAGGCGGCUUUGCAAGACAGGUGUGAAAUCCCCGGGCCUAACCUGGGAACUGCAUUCGUGACUGCAUGGCUAGAGUUUGUCAGAGGGGGGUGGAAUUCCACGUGUAGCAGUGAAAUGCGUAGAUAUGUGGAGGAACACCGAUGGCGAAGGCAGCCCCCUGGGAUGUGACUGACGCUCAUGUACGAAAGCGUGGGGAGCAAACAGG
rnacentral:rRNA from 1 species